rnacentral:rRNA from 1 species
AUUGAACGCUGGCGGCAUGCCUUACACAUGCAGGUCGAACGGCAGCACAGGGAGCUUGCUCCUGGGUGGCGAGUGGCGAACGGGUGAGUAAUGUAUCGGAACGUGCCCAGUAGUGGGGAUAACUACUCGAAAGAGUGGCUAAUACCGCAUGAGAUCUCUGGAUGAAAGUGGGGGACCGCAAGGCCUCACGCUACUGGAGCGGCCGAUAUCAGAUUAGGUUGUUGGUGGGGUAAAGGCCUACCAAGCCUGCGAUCUGUAGCUGGUCUGAGAGGAAGACCAGCCACGCUGGGAAUGGGACACGGCCAUGACUCCUACGGGAGGCAGCAGUGGGGAAUUUUGGACAAUGGGCGCAAGCCUGAUCCAGCAAUGCCGCGUGCAGGAUGAAGGCCUUCGGGUUGUAAACUGCUUUUGUACGGAACGAAACGGCUCUGGUUAAUACCUGGGGUCCAUGACGGUACCGUAAGAAUAAGCACCGGCUAACUACGUGCCAGCAGCCGCAGUAAAAC